rnacentral:misc_RNA from 1 species
AAUGUGUGUAGCUAACUGAUACUAAUAGCUCGAUUGAUUUACUUUGCUGUGAGAUUACAUAUGCAUAUAGUGUUAAUUCUAUAAAAAUGUAGUAUCAACUCACAAAGUUAUCAGGUUAAAUUAGCUUUACCAAUGAAUAAAAAUGUUGUUGCACAGCUAAUAAUGUUAUACCGUGGUCCCGCCACGGUAUCUAGAAAAAUUUUUAAUAUUUAGAUUCUUGCUUCCGCAGGAAUGAUAAAUUUAGUCAUGCA